CCUACGGGUGGCAGCAGUGAGGAAUAUUGGUCAAUGGUCGGGAGACUGAACCAGCCAAGCCGCGUGAGGGAGGAAGGUACAGAGUAUCGUAAACCUCUUUUGUCAGGGAACAAAGGCGGGGACGUGUCCCCGGAUGAGUGUACCUGAAGAAAAAGCAUCGGCUAACUCCGUGCCAGCAGCCGCGGUAAUACGGAGGAUGCGAGCGUUAUCCGGAUUUAGUGGGGUUAAAGGGUGCGCAGGCGGGCUGUUAAGUCAGCGGCAAAAACCCGGGGGGCAACCCCGGCCCGCCGUUGAAACUGGCAGUCUCGAGUUGGAGAGAAGUAUGCGGAAUGCGCGGUGUAGCGGUGAAAUGCAUAGAUAUCGCGCAGAACUCCGAUUGCGAAGGCAGCAUGCCGGCUCCACACUGACGCUGAGGCACGAAAGCGUGGGUAUCGAACAGGAUUAGAUACCCGUGUAGUC
rnacentral:rRNA from 1 species